rnacentral:rRNA from 1 species
AGUGAACGCUGGCGGUAGGCCUAACACAUGCAAGUCGAACGGCAGCACAGUAAGAGCUUGCUCUUACGGGUGGCGAGUGGCGGGCGGGUGAGGAAUAUAUCGGAAUCUACUUUUUCGUGGGGGAUCACGUAGGGAAACUUACGCUAAUACCGCAUACGCCCUACGGUUGAAAGCAGGGGAUCUUCGGACCUUGUGCGAUUGAACGAGCCGAUGUCGGUGUAGCUAGUUGGCGGGGUAAAGGCCCACCUAGGCGGCGAUCCGUAGCUGGUCUGAGAGGAUGAUCAGCCACACUGGAACGGAGACACGGUCCAGACUACUACGGGAGGCACCAGUGUGGAAUAUUGGACAAUGGGCGCAAGCCUGAUCCAGCCAGACCGCGUGGGUGAAGAAGGCCUUCGGGUUGUAAAGCCCUUUUGUUGGGAAAAAAAAGCAUCAGGUUAAUACCCCGCGAUUCUGACGGUACCCAAAGAAUAAGCACCGGCUAACUUCGUG